rnacentral:misc_RNA from 1 species
AACAUUCGCAGUGGCCGCCUGAGAGCUUUCGCCUUUCGCGGGGCUUGAGAGCUUGUGCUGCUUUUAUCCUUCCUUGGAUGUCUGAGCUUCUCUCGUUCAGAAUUCUCUCUUCUCAUAACUCUUUUGCUUUAAUUGUUUAUGGUUGUUUCUCUUUUUUAAACCCAUUUGGUUUGAUAUCUUUUGCUAAUCGUAAGUGUGGCUUGAUUUAUGGAAUUUGUCUUGGUGUUUAGAAUUGGAGAUUUGUUGCAUUUUCACCUUGAUUUUGUCGUUUGUUCUUCUCUGAUUUGACAUUUUUGUUAACUUGUUAUGAACUGGAGAACGGGUAAUUUUGAUUUCUUUGUUGUGACGUUCGAUAUUUCUCAUUUCACAAGUAUAAAACUAGAGGGUGUCUUUUGUGGGAUGCAUUUCUUCAUGGGGACUAUACGUCUGCCCCUUUAGCAGGUUUUGGAGUGCUUUAGGGAUGAACAAGUCCCUGAUAUGUAAUUCAAUCCAUCUGUAUCACUUUGUCAGCAUUAUUCUCUAGUAUCUUGCUGAUCAUUGGAGGGUGGAAUAUGCUUAAUUUUUUCUGUUAUUUUGGAUUCCUAAUAGCAUUGGGGCAGGCAAAGCAUGGAUUUAUCAUAUUGGCUUUUUGGAGUUUAUUAAUUGAAUGAAUGAGUCUUAGUUGUAUGGUUUGUUUCUGCAAAUUUUUGUUGUGUUGCCUGAUUGCAUUGCUAGGAUUGAGAACUUGUGAUGGUUCAGUACUUAGUUUCUGAAGAUUGCUUCAAUGAUAUGAUCCAAGUUUGAUUAUAUUUCUUGGCAAUUGCAACAAUUGAUUAAUUAAAUUGAAGCUACAAUUUUCUUAGCUGGCUCUGUAUUGAUAAUCUAUUGGUUCUUGAUAUGAUUAUGUUAAUAUUUUAUAUUUUUAUUAUUCUUUUUAUAGAUUUGAUGAUUGCUGCAUCUUUUGAUCUUGCUGUCGUGUGUUGAUGAUGACAAAUCCAA